rnacentral:sRNA from 22 species
CUGCCCUGCGGAGUGCCAGGUCCGCCGCAUCUCCUGGGUCCGUAGGGUUGGCCGGCGCGCAAAUGGCUUAGGAGUGGCCUCCUCGAAACGGCCAUCUGCCGCCGGCCACCUU